rnacentral:rRNA from 1 species
UACGUAGGCACCAAGCGUUAUCCGGAUUUAUUGGGCGUAAAGAGCGCGUAGGCGGCUAGAUAAGUCCGGUGUGAAAGCCACAGGCUCAACCUGUGAAUGCCGCUGGAAACUGUCUGGCUAGAGUCCGGAAGGGGCGAGUGGAAUUCCUGGUGUAGCGGUGAAAUGCGCAGAUAUCAGGAGGAACACCAAUGGCGAAGGCAGCUCGCUGGGACGGUACUGACGCUGAGGCGCGAAAGCGUGGGGAGCAAACAGG